UUCUCCCGUCGUAAUCAACACAGUGAAUCGCCCAACGGGAAUCACUCAGCUCAUCAGCUUCCUCUGUCCCUCUCGAUCCUCCGUUUCAUUUAUUGAUCGGAGCUCGCAAUUCCCCCGCCCUUUGAUCGACGGACAGCUCACGCUUUUUGGUUUGUUCGCCUGUAUAUGUCGGAGAGGAACAGAGAUUUUAGGCGAAGGAUUCCGGCGAGCCGGAGAGGAGUUACCAGUGGAAAAUCUCCGAGGCCGUCGCCGUCGCCGUCGGGUAAGAGGAGGAUCAGACCGGUUGAGGCGGCGGGGAAGGUUAGAAAUCCGUCGGAUAAGGAUAGAGUUUUGAAGAGGAGCAAGUCGGAACCGUCGCUGUGGAAGCCUAUCGAAAGUGAUGAACCUACAGUUGCGGCGGCGGAAGACGCCGCCGCGGAGGAGGAGGAGGAUGAAGGAGUGCUUUUCCGUCCGAGAACGUGCACGGACAUUUUCACGUCUCCCGACCAUUCGACGCCACGAUCUCCGGCGAACUGCGCUGAGGGGUAUGACAAAGAAGCCAAGGUUGUGGUAAAUGUGACUGUCGAAGGAAGUGUCGGUCCGAUCCGAACAAUGGUGAAAUUAGGAUCGAAGAUUGAGGAUAUUAUUAGUCUUGUGGUAAAGAAGUAUAACGAAGAAGGACGAACUCCUCGUCUAGAAAAAGAUUCAGUUUCGACAUUCCAACUUCAUCAAUCUCAUUUCAGUCUUGAAAGUAUACGCAAGUCAGAUCUGAUCGGCGACGUUGGGAGCCGAAACUUUUAUCUGCGCAAGUGCAGCACCAGUGAUCUCAGCGACGACACUCAAACGGAAAAGACUUCAGCGUCGUCGAAUCAGCUCGACGUCCAUCCUCUCCCGUUUAUGUCGAGCGCAAUCAGUCGUAAGAUCAAGCGAAUUAUGCGUCGAACCCGGAAAGUUUGGAGGAUUUUCGGAUGCAUUUCGUGCGCCGGAUAGCUCGUCGUGGCUUCGUUAGCUAAGCAACACAAUAUUAUCUUGUUGCUUUGCUAUAUGUGAAAUAUAUAUAUAUAUAUAUAUAUUGUUUCGACAGGGAAUUUGCCGCAUUGGGAAAAUCAUCGCCUGAACAAUCCGCAGCCGCUAUCCGAAAGUGCGCAUUGGGUAAAUCUCCAGCCGAAUGUAAUACCCUGCAAACUAGGCCUGACGGGUAAGUCAUACUAAACGAAUUAUGUAUAACAGAUAACCUAAAGCGUAAGAAGUUUUGGCCGAAUUUUGAAAAUAUGAUCUUACGACCAUAAGUGUACAUGUUACACCAGCUCGACUCCAAUUGCGGAGCUGGAUAAAUUGCAUGUACUUAUGUGUGUAAAUUUUAUUAUAUGAUGCAUGUUUGCGUUGGCCAAAAUUAUACUCCCUCGUUCAAACAAUAAGUAUACAUUUGUUUUUAGCGCGGAGUGUAA